rnacentral:rRNA from 1 species
AACCAGCGGAGGGAUCAUUAUAGAGUUAUUAACUCCUAUAACCAUGGCGAAUUUACCCGACUUUGAAUCUCUUUGGCAGGCGGUCCUAGGGUGGGACCAACCAAGGCCUAAUGAUAUGGUGGUGCUUGUCAAGGGGAGCUCAACUCUUGUUAUUUGAGAAUCUAAGUUCCUGACAUAAAUAUUUAAAAAUUUUCAAUCGUGGAUCUCUUGGCUCUGGCAUCGAUGAAGAACGCAGCGAAAUGCGAUAAGUAAUGUGAAUUGCAGAAUUCAGCGAAUCAUCGAAUCUUUGAACGCACAUUGCGCCCGCUGGUAUUCCGGCGGGCAUGCCUGUUCGAGCGUCAUUUCAACCCUCAGGUCCUUUUAAAGGCCUGGCGUUGGAGCUUUUUUUUGCUGAGUUAGCAAAGCUCUAAAAACAAGUGGCACACUCUGUAAGCAGCUAAGCGCAGUAAAUUGCUUCUCGCUAUGGUGUUCUGUUUAUAGGCGUAUUGCCGUAAAAUAUGUAUCUAUGGUGACCUCGAU